AAGUCGUAACAAGGUUUCCGUAGGUGAACCUGCGGAAGGAUCAUUAAAAGAGAUUUUUGUAGCUUGCUACAAAAAUUUCCAACCCUUGUCUAUACAAAAAACAAACUGUUGCUUCGGUGGGCUUCAAAAGUAAAGCAAAAGAAUUUGAAGUUUAUACUCCGAAUUCUCCUCCUUUCUUUUCCACCAGAAGAAAUAAACCAAAACUCUUGUUAAAACCAAUUGUCUGAAUCAAUUUGAACUUGCUUAGCAGCGAGUAAAAUAAAAUUACAA
rnacentral:misc_RNA from 1 species